CGGGGUGCACCAGGCGCGAAACCUCUGCAAUAGGCGAAAGCCUGACAGGGUUACUCUGAGUGAUUCCCGCUAAGGGGAUCUUUUGGCACCUCUAAAAAUGGUGCAGAAUAAGGGGUGGGCAAGCCUGGUGUCAGCCGCCGCGGUAAUACCAGCACCCCGAGUGGUCGGGACGAUUAUUGGGCCUAAAGCAUCCGUAGCCGGCCACGCAAGUCCUCCGUUAAAUCCACCCGCUCAACGGUUGGGCUGCGGAGGAUACUACGUGGCUAGGAGGCGGGAGAGGCAAGCGGUACUCAAUGGGUAGGGGUAAAAUCCUUUGAUCCAUUGAAGACCACCAGUGGCGAAGGCGGCUUGCCAGAACGCGCUCGACGGUGAGGGAUGAAAGCUGGGGGAGCAAACCGGAUUAGAUACCCGGGUAGUCCCAGCUGUAAACGAUGCAGACUCGGUGAUGGGAUGGCCUCGAGCCAUCCCAGUGCCGCAGGGAAGCCGUUAAGUCUGCCGCCUGGGGAGUACGGUCGCAAGACUGAAACUUAAAGGAAUUGGCGGGGGAGAAGGGCGAUUCGCG
rnacentral:rRNA from 1 species